AGUGAACGCUGACGGUAGGCCUAACACAUGCAAGUCGAACGGCAGCACAGUAAGAGCUUGCUCUUACGGGUGGCGAGUGGCGGACGGGUGAGGAAUACAUCGGAAUCUACUUUUUCGUGGGGGAUAACGUAGGGAAACUUACGCUAAUACCGCAUACGACCUACGGGGGAAAGCAGGGGAUCUUCGCACCUUGCGCGAUUGAAUGAGCCGAUGUCGGAUUAGCUAGUUGGCGGGGUAAAGACCCACCAAGUCGACGAUCGGUAGCUGGUCUGAGAGGCUGGUAGGCGGCACUGGAGCUGAGACACGGUCCAGACUCCUACGGGAGGCAGCAGUGGGGAAUAUUGGACAAUGGGGGCAAGCCUGAUCCAGCCAUACCGCGUGGGUGAAGAAGGCCUUCGGGUUGUAAAGCCCUUUUGUUGGGAAAGAAAAGCAGCCGGUUAAUACCCCGCUGUUCUGACGGUACCCAAAGAAUAAGCACCGGCUAACUUCGUG
rnacentral:rRNA from 1 species